CCUACGGGAGGCAGCAGUGGGGAAUUUUCCGCAAUGGGCGAAAGCCUGACGGAGCAACGCCGCGUGAGGGAUGAAGGCCUCUGGGCUGUAAACCUCUUUUAUCAAGGAAGAAGAUCUGACGGUACUUGAUGAAUAAGCCACGGCUAAUUCCGUGCCAGCAGCCGCGGUAAUACGGGAGUGGCAAGCGUUAUCCGGAAUUAUUGGGCGUAAAGCGUCCGCAGGCGGUCUUGUAAGUCUGUCGUUAAAGCGUGGAGCUUAACUCCAUUUCGGCGGUGGAAACUACAAGACUAGAGUGUGGUAGGGGCAGAGGGAAUUCCCGGUGUAGCGGUGAAAUGCGUAGAUAUCGGGAAGAACACCAGUGGCGAAGGCGCUCUGCUGGGCCAUAACUGACGCUCAUGGACGAAAGCUAGGGGAGCGAAAGGGAUUAGAUACCCCUGUAGUCCUAGCCGUAAACGAUGAACACUAGGUGUCGGGGGAAUCGACCCCCUCGGUGUCGUAGCUAACGCGUUAAGUGUUCCGCCUGGGGGAGGUACGCNCGCAGUGUGAAACGUUAAAGGUAAAGUUAGUACGGCGUGAGACGCGACCGACGGACGACGACGAGGGAGGUAGG
rnacentral:rRNA from 1 species